rnacentral:piRNA from 1 species
UGAAAACUUAAGAAUUUGUUCUUCAGCUCUU